UACGUAGGGUGCAAGCGUUGUCCGGAAUUAUUGGGCGUAAAGCGCGCGUAGGCGGCUCGGAAAGUCGGAUGUGAAAAUCCGGGGCUCAACCCCGGACCUGCAUCCGAUACUCCCGAGCUGGAGGCAGGCAGGGGAGAUCGGAAUUCCUGGUGUAGCGGUGAAAUGCGCAGAUAUCAGGAGGAACACCGGUGGCGAAGGCGGAUCUCUGGGCCUGAUCCGUGACCGCUCGACGGCGCGAAAGCUAGGGGAGCAAACAGGAUUAGAAACCCCUGGU
rnacentral:rRNA from 1 species